UAUGUUAUGGCCCCUAGUUGGGAGAUCAGAUGAAACUUCAUUUGCCUUAGUAAAUCAUUUGGCAGUCUUUUCUUUGCCUGUGGCUUUCUUUUCUUCUUUUCUUUAGCUUUUCAAUACCAUGGAAAGUUGCAAGUUUUGAAGAUAGCAACAUGUUUAUGCUAUUUUCUAAUUUGAAGCACUCUAGCUCAUACUCUUUGCUGAUGUAUAUAAAUUGCUGAUGCAGCUGCCCAGCACUGAUACAUUAUCAUAAAGAAGUUUAAGUAUAGAGCCAAGUGGAAAUGUUAGAAAACUUGGCAAAAUCUUCCCCAACAUUCGCAGACAAAACAUCAUUGUUUUUCUUAUUUAAGAUGAGAUGUGUUUUAUAUUAAUUUCACUUUCUGCUUCUUGUCACUCAUGUCUUCUUUAAUCUCGAAAAGGCGUUUUACACUUGUUUGCGUGGUGCCAUCAGUAAAACAAAUCCCCCGUCAAUGAAUUCUUGGAUACUAGUGACCUCCUCAACAAGUUCAAAGCCUGAAAAUAAAAACAAAAGUGCACAUUCUAAUUUCAAAUUUUCAACAAUUGUAGGUUAACUGCUUCAUUCAUCAACUGUUUAUGUACCUCCUCUGUGUUGAAAUCUAUUAACCUUUCCUCUAAGAUACGUGCAUCUUUAACGUGCAACUCUUCAAGAAGGGAGAAGCCCUUCAUCAAAGAAGUCGGUAUCACCUGUAAAUCAUCAGUUAUCAUAAAUCUGAUUGUUUCAUUAACAAAUAUUCCUCCAUCAUUGGAUGUUUCUUUUCGCCAAAAUCAAGUAUUUGUUAUCAGUUUUCCAUAACGGCUGCAUUGAUCAUUUUUUUGCAUACGUUUAGUAACAUGUUGAUUGAGUUAAGCAAUCACUUAAAUUGCAAAUAUAGAGAGUCAUUAGAUUGGCAACAUGAAUGUUUUAAUCUUAAAAUCUUCACAUAUUAUUGAUGUCACACUUUAAGGAUUGAAAAUCAUUUUCUUGCAUGCCCGGUCUGCAAGUGUUUGUUGUCAAGUUGCUUAACACCCUCGUAAAGGCUGCCAAGAGAUCCAAAUCCCGACUGCUUGCCCAAAAGCCAGACGAUGCAUCCCAGCAGCAAGUCAAGAAUCUAAACAAUAGUCAACAAAAUCGCUACCAACUUCAGGUGCUCAAGUUCCUCUGAUGUGGGGAUAAUUGAAGCUUGACUUUAUCUUUGGAGCAUUCCAAUCACCGAGAAAGUGAUUUCUCAAGUGGAUGAUAAUUUAAACAAGCCUAUUCACUCUUGAAAGUGAUGGUUGAUUGCCUCUCAAUGGUUAAUCAUGAUGGUGGUUAAAGUGUUUUGUCAUAUACGACGUAGCCAAUUACGAUUUCCAUCUCUUUUGCCAUUGAAACCCAAGUAUCAGCCCUACUCUUCAUGGUUAAAUAAGUGAAGGCACUAGAGUAAGAUUUUGGCUAUAUUCUCAAUACGUCAUGUCCAAGAUCAAGGUAAUAUUUCUAGUUGAUAAAGAUAAAAAGUGGGUUGUGUAUGCUGAAACUGAAAACAAUUUCAUUGACAUUUUGUUUAACUUUUUGACUUUGUCAUUGGGAAGGAUUGUUUAGCUUUUACGCAAGCAAUCAAGCUGGGAUCUUUGAACAGCCUCUAUGAGAGCGUUGAGCAGUUUAACGUCAACACUUACAGAUUGAGGCAUGCAAGAAAAUGUUUCUCAAUUCUUGAAUUGCAACUGCAAUGAUAUGCAAUAAGUUUACGGUUAAAAAUAUUCAUUAUAUCAAUUCAAGUUCUUGGAUUGACAUUAUGAAUAUUUUUAGUCUUCUAGUCCUCGCAUAUUUUUGCAGCCGCACUUCGAGAUUUGAGAAGCAUGCAUUGGCAUGCAUCGGUUUGUAUAUACUUGACUUCAAGCUGCUCAAUGCUCUCAUAAAGGCUAUCGAGAGAUCCUAAACCUGUCUGCUUCCCCAAAAGCCGAACGAUACUUCCUAGCGGUAGAGUAGGGAAGCUAAACAGGGCAUCAAUGAAAUCGCUUUUAGCUUCGGCAUAUACAACCCUCUUUUGCUUUUUAUGAAUUAGAAUCCUUACACUUAUCUUAGGCACGGCGUAAUGGGAAGUAAUGUAUGUGCUGUAGUUUGAUUGCUCUUGCCUCCACAUAUAACAGAGAAGCCUUAGAUUCAUGGGUUUUCAUGCAAAAAGAGAUGAGAGUGCAGAAGUGGGGAAUCCUAAUAAUUAAUAGGUUGGGUCAUAAAUGGAGAGACACAUUAAUCGUCACCUUGACCUUCGGGAACCUGGAUGUUAAGAUCGGGAAUUCUGCAGCAGUGAUACCGUGAGGGUGAUAUUGUUUCAUAAUAACGAAGAAGUUCAUAUAGUCAAAUAUAGAAAUGGAGGAAGGUUCAUAGGUCCAUCCAAACGUUUAUUAUUUAUAAUUAUUUGAAAAAUGAAAGUUCAUUGGACCAUCCAAGUUCGAAAAAAUAGUGACAGAUAUUGGUGGAUUUUUUGUUGUCGACUUUAGAAGGUUUUUGCUUACAAAUAAUCUUCACAUUUCUUUUCUAUUUUUCAUCUGUCAUUGGUAAUUAAAUGAAUUUGUGUUUUUUCAUUCUUGUUGGAAAGGAUGUUUGCCUUAAGAAUGCUAAGUUUAAUCUGUCUAUAAUUUCUUUUGUUCAAUUUAAUUUUUUUUAUUUGAUACUUUUGAUCAGCCAUCUUUUCUUCGAAAUGAUGUCUCUAUCAUUGCUUAGUGUUAGCAGAAGAAUUUUCUUUGUAAAAUUGUAAUUAAUUAUCAACUUUACAUCUUUUCAGAUUCAGGAUUGACUACAUUAGUUUAUGUGGAUUCCUUAUAUAUAAUAAUAAAAACAUAAUUUCUACUUUUUUAUUUCAUAUGUUGAGUUUUACUAUUUUUAUUGUCCUAAUAGUAAGAACAAAAUUCUUUUAAUGAAUGUAAUAUAAGUAGCCAUCAACGAGAAGAACUCUUGAAUUUGGCUGCUUGAUUUUUUAUUUUCCUUGAAAUCUUUCAUUUGCUUGCAGCGUCAACCGACUUGAAGAGCCUGCUUAGAAUGAGUUCAUAGAUUGUAGUCACUUGCUUGAGACAACUUCCUUUGUAAAAUUAAAGAAUAAAAUAGACUACAACACAACAACAACAAUAAGCUUUUGUCCCACUACGUGGGGUCGCGGUUCAAGCACUAAGAAAUAUAAAUAUAAAAUUUCAAUUUUUUGCUCAUAUUCCUUUAAAGAAUCAGGAUAGAACGACUUAAAAUAGCAGUUCAAGCAUACAGUUGCUGCAAGCAAAGGGAAUAUCUCAAAUAAAAGAAAGAACCAAGCAACCAAAUUCAGACUAUCUUCUUGCUGAUGGUUGCUUAUAAUGUCUUCAUUAAAAAUGUUUGCUCGUACCACUAGAACAAUUAAAGUAGUGCAACUCAUAAUGUGAAAUAAAUAGACAUACAAUUCAGUUAUUUUUACUAGCUAUAGCAGACUAUUUAUAAUUUGAAAGAUGUAAAGUUGAUAAUUAAUUAUAAUUUCAAGAAAAUCUUUUCAUUAUAAUGAUAAAAUAGCUUAAUUUGAUUGUAUAACGAUGGUAACAAGUCGAAAAUGAAAUGGUUCUACUGAUAUCACUUGUCGAAAGGUCAUCUAAGAAUGAAAUAUUUGAACCACAAAUUUUGCAUUAUUUAACAGAGUGAUCAACCGUUUUUGAUGUGGGGAUAUUUGAAGCUUGACUUUAUCUUUGGAGCAGUCCAAUCACUGAUAAAGUGAUUUCUUAAUCGCACUUCAAGGAUUGAGAUUCAUCUCCUUGCAUGCCUCAUUCUGUAGGUACUUGACGUCAAGCUGCUCGACGUUCUCGUAGAGACUAUCCAGAGAUCCCAACCCUGAUUUCUUUCCCAAAAGCUGAACAAUACUUCCCAACAAUAGAGUUAUAAAGCUAAUCAAGUCAUCAAUGAAAUUGCUUCUAGCUUCAGCACAUACAACCCUCUUUUGCUUUUUUAUCAAUUAAAAAAUUUACUCAUAUCUUGGAUGACAUGCUGGUAAGAUUUAGUCUGUUAUGCAGUUAGAAUGUAUUUGCCUUCAUUUGUGUAUAACUGUGAAUACUUAUAUGAUAUGGACAAAAGAUAUGAGAAUUAUAACA